rnacentral:sRNA from 1 species
AUGUAGCGCUCGUACACGCCGGCUGCUCCCCACCGGCCGCGCCCACCUGACAACCGCUCGCUACAUUUUGCUGGCC